CCGGUGUAAUUGACUCAAAUAUCUCACGAGCCUUGGUCGCCUCCGGUUUCCCUUCCCCGUAUCCAAUCUCUUGACCUACCGCCGCCGCCGCCUCCUCUCGCUUCUGAUGCUGCCGCUCCGAUGAAGAUUACCACGCCGCUGUUGCUUAGAUCCCUGGAGAAGGGGAACAGCAGCUGCGCCAAGCGGCAUGCCUCGUCCGAGCCGCAUGGUGGCCGACACAUCGGCGCUUUCAUGGCCGGUCCUGGGCGGUGCCUCGUCAGCGUUGUGGAUGGCUUGGGCAGCGCCUUGGCAUCCAAGAGGGGCGAAGUGGGCCGGCCAGCAUGCGUGGGGUGCAAAGGCCACGAGCAGGAAGGAGAUGCGCUGGAGGUGAUGGAGGAGGAAGUUGGAGGAGGCAUCAGCGUCCAUGGCGACGCCGCCACGGGACCCCCCGUGCACACCUCAGCGUCCAUGGCAGCGCCGCCAUGGGACCCCCCUGCACACCUCGGCAUGCCUCGUCCGUGCCACAUGGUGGCCGAGAUGCGGCCGCCCAUGCUCUGCCGGCGCCGUCUCAUCCUCUUCAUCAAGAGGAGGCAUCUCUGCCGGACGCCCGGACCACGCCUCCCCAUCUACCGCACUGUAAUGGCCACCUCCUGGAUGAGGUAUAGCGCUGUGUUGACCGUCCUCUGCUGCCCUGGUUCCUAACCUCUGCUCCUGCCGAGGCUGAGGUGAGCAUCAUGACGACCCGUGGCUGAUACAGAGAGCUCCUCGAACGGGAAGUAGCAGUGCUGGAAGAACUUGAAGAUGAGCAGGUCAAUUUUGGCAUGUCCAGUUAGUUCAGGUGAAUUCAUGGCCAAGAUGGACGGAUUUCUGUUGUGUGGGCUGGAGGUUCUUGAGGUGGAAAUUAGCAACCAGGCUAUAGUCGGUGCAUGGAUGACCAAGUUUACUUAUUACUUUAUGAAGAUGAUGAUUCCUAAAUGGAAUUAGGAGCUAGGUCCAGCAUGUUGAUUGUGCUUCAAGGUUGAAACACGAGAAGAACUAUCUUGCCUGCCUGAAAUUGACAGGAGCUUAGUCUGAAUGUCGAAGAAAUACUGGAAUGUAGGAUGGAAAGGCCAUUGUUUCGACGAGCUGAUGAACAACCUGGGUGUCUAAUUUUAUAUGAGCCAGGGAAAGCAAUUUUAUACCUAACAGCUCUCCCCUGAUUUGGAUCUUUGCUGGCCGUUCGAUCUUGCUCAUUUUGGUCAAUUGUGCCAGUUCGGUCGUCCGAUCCUUGCAUCGUGUUAUCACCAUGCCUAUUUUAUUCUCCUAACUUUGUCAUGGAUUAACAUCAUAUUACUAAUUUUUUGUGUUGAACUAACCAAUUUAACAAUCAAAAUUGCUGGCCUUGCAUCAACUGUUGUUGUUCUGCUAGCCAUAGGCUGCCCCUCAGGUUCAUAAUUCUAAGCUUGGACCAUGUGGCCCACCUUAACCAAUGCAGGUUGAUGACUCCGUGCGGUUGCUAGGGGCACAGGUUGUGCUGAUAAAAGUCCAUGAAUUUUUUAUUAGCAUCAUUAUUUUUCAAUUUGAUCUAUUGUUUUCUAGCUUUUCUUGUGUAUCAACUUCCAUAUAUGGUACUGUUUGUCAAGCAUUACUAUUGUUCUCACUUAGAAUUUUUUCUUUUCUUCUUUGCUACUUUAUAUUUAGAUGCUCAAGAAAUUUGGGAAGUAUCAUAGUGGUUCGGGCCUUGGUGCUACAUGAGACACAAGCACCUUCAAAGUACAUGUGUGUAUUAUGGAUAUUAGUGCUUUUGCUCAUUCUAAUUUUUUACUUAAGGUGGUUACAUUUUCUUACUUUUUUGCUGAAAAAGAGUGAAUUCAGUCAUGAACAUGCAUUGAUAUAUUUAUUGUUAGUUUAUCUUCGUGUUAUCGGUAUGCUUUUGAUGGCUGCAACCUGAACCAAUUAUAUCACUAUUCCCAUCUUACUUAGUGGCAUUGCUAUGCUUCACAGUAUACAAUGUUUUGCAUGCCAGUAUAAUUCAUAAGUGGUUUUCGUAUUUAGGUGUUAUUAAUAUGGUGAGUGAUUGAAGGGGAGGCAUGAGGAGAAGAGCAGUCCAAAGGGCGGAUGGAGCAUGUCACUUGUUGAUGUUCUUUCCAUUUCCGGACAGAACAACUUUUCUAUGAUUUGGGUGUAUGUUGAUGUGUGAAAGUCAAUCAUUUGGAUUCCCAACUAGACUAUUGUGUGUGUUUAAUGUUUUAUUGUGCAUUGAUAAAAUGUUUCACUGCCCGUGUUAGAUGAAAGGACAACACGGCAUAAGGGAGUUUGCCCUUUAGGAAGGUUCUUGUUUGCUGCUGUGAUUAAAAUUAGGAAAUUUAUAUACCUAUAGCAGGAUAGUUGCUCAAGCUCAAGUCUUAUGUAACAUGUAACAUCUGAACUAUGUUUGUGCUAAUAAUUUUUUCCAUUGAAAAA